CGUAUUACAGCGGAGUACGCAAAAGGAUGCAAGCUAGGAAUCGACAAAGUAAACCACACGCAAGGUGCUUAGAUAGAAAACGUAAAAUGGUGUACAGAGGAAAAAAGGAGGUCGGGAGGUACCAACUCCCGAUGGAAAAACCUGGACGUAUGCUUUGAUUUGCCCGAGAUCAACUACCGCUAGCUCUUGCACACUUCGUCCGGUGUUGCUUUGCUCUAUGCGUCCAAAUGCC
rnacentral:lncRNA from 1 species